UACGGAGGGUGCGAGCGUUGUCCGGAAUCAUUGGGCGUAAAGGGCGCGUAGGCGGCGUGGUAAGUCAAUUGUGAAAUCUCCGAGCUUAACUCGGAACGGUCAAUUGAUACUGCUGUGCUAGAGUACAGAAGGGGCAAUCGGAAUUCUUGGUGUAGCGGUGAAAUGCGUAGAUAUCAAGAGGAACACCUGAGGUGAAGACGGGGUUGCUGGGCUGAUACUGACGCUGGAGGCGCGGAAAGCUAGGGUAGCAAACGGG
rnacentral:rRNA from 1 species